UUCAUGCAAGUUUCCUUCGGCUUUACAUCCGAUAUUCUGAUCAGAAGUACUGUUAUUUUGGGGUAAGUGAUGUUAUUUUCUUCCUAAUGAUGUUAUUUUCUCCUUUUUGUCCAAGAUGUUUAUUAUGGUUACUAUCUUUGAUUGUAUCCAUGUUUUGAUCUUUAUUUUUGAAUUCUGCUUCACAAUUGGUUAUUAUGGAGUAUUAUUGAACUUGGAUAAAC
rnacentral:lncRNA from 1 species